rnacentral:rRNA from 1 species
UGGGCAACCUGCCCUCAGCUCUGGGAUAACCCCGGGAAACCGGGGCUAAUACCGGAUACGACCUCCACGGGCAUCUGCGGAGGUGGAAAGUUUUUGCGGCUGAGGAUGGGCCCGCGGCCUAUCAGCUUGUUGGUGGGGUGACGGCCCACCAAGGCGACGACGGGUAGCCGGCCUGAGAGGGCGACCGGCCACACUGGGACUGAGACACGGCCCAGACUCCGUACGGGAGCA